UCACACCCAGAGUGACAACAUGUCACACAUAUCCGUCGUAGUGGCCCACAGGCCAGGUAGACGUUUCAAGCAAUCACAUUUGCACCUCGUAAAGCUACACCUGGGGAGGUUUGAGAAACGGU
rnacentral:ncRNA from 1 species